AGAUUGCACCAUUCCUACCUCAUUUGGCAGCAGAAGCAUCGAGUCACAAGGAGGAUGAGGUUCUAGCCCAGAAGCAGCUGGGCUAUGUCAUUCUAAAGGUGAUGCGGCUUCCUUUACCUGAAUAAUCCUUUAAAGGAGUAAUAAUUUUUAAAAAGGAGCUCGACCUCAGCCAAAGAGGACGGCGCACGAGAUUAGGGCUUGAUCCACUGCCUUUGGUUGGGCCGGCUGAAUCGCUGGGGACUGCGGCCAGUCUCUUAAAAAAGGAGAACAAAAAGCCGAAGACCUUGUGUGGCCGCCGGGACAAAGCACCUUGGGUUCGGCGAGAAGGGACGCGCAGGAGCGCUGAACCCAGAACACGCGUGGCCGCUGCGGAAGGGCGUCCGCCCGGCGUGCGGAACGCUGAGGGGACUCUCAUCCUCUGUCUCGCCCCCUUUUUUUGACCCGGGGAUCCAGCCGCAUUAUACACGAGUGACCUUUUAAAUCUACGUCCACCCUUUACCUGCGAGAGGACUGCAGCAGGCGAGUUCCGGAAGGCUGAAUCCCCAGGUCCCAGCCCCGGACCGCGGCAACUCGCCCCUGCGGCACGCCCGGCCCGGCUGCGCCCCCACUCAGCGAUGGAGGAAAAAGCCUGGAUGCGAAAGGAUGGGGGAGAACAAAGAGCCUUUGGAAGACGUCGCUGUUAUCUCAUUGUCUGUGUGAUUGGGGGAGCUGCGGCGGGGAGGAUGCUGUGGUCCCUUCCUCCGGCGUUCCCCACCCCCAUCCCUCUCCCCGCUGUCAGUGCGCACGCACACGCGCCGCUUUUUAUUUCUUUUUCCUGGUUUUCUUAUUCCAUCUUCUACCCACCCCUCUUCCUUUCUUUCACCUUUCCUUCCUUCCUUCCUCCUUUCCUUCCUCAGGAGAAAGGCCUCUCUCUC
rnacentral:lncRNA from 1 species